GGGCGUAAGAGCUCGUAGGUGGUUAGUUACGUCGGAUGUGAAAAUCUAGCCCCUCAACCCUAGACCUGCAUCCGAUACGGGCUAGCUUGAGUUUGGUAGGGGAGACUGGAAUUCCUGGUGUAGCGGUGGAAUGCGCAGAUAUCAGGAGGAACACCAAUGGCGAAGGCAGGUCUCUGGGCCAAUACUGACACUGAGGAGCGAAAGUGUGGGGAGCGAACAGGAUUAGAUACCCUGGUAGUCCACACAGUAAACGAUGGGCACUAGUUGUGGGAACCUUCCACGGUUUCUGCGACGCAGCUAACGCAUUAAGUGCCCCGCCUGGGGAGUACGAUCGCAAGAUUAAAAUUCAAAGGAAUUGACGGGGCCCCGCACAAGCAGCGGAGCAUGCGGCUUAAUUCGACGCAACGCGAAGAACCUUACCAAGGCUUGACAUAUACAGGAAUAUGGCAGAGAUGUCAUAGCCGCAAGGUCUGUAUACAGGUGGUGCAUGGUUGUCGUCAGCUCGUGUCGUGAGAUGUUGGGUUAAGUCCCGCAACGAGCGCAACCCUCGUUCUGUGUUGCCAGCAUUUAGUUGGGGACUCACAGGAGACUGCCGGGGUCAACUCGGAGGAAGGUGGGGAUGACGUCAAAUCAUCAUGCCCCUUAUGUCUUGGGCUGCACGCAUGCUACAAUGGCUGGUACAAAGGGCUGCAAUACUGCAAAGUGGAGCGAAUCCCAAGAAGCCAGUCUCAGU
rnacentral:rRNA from 1 species